CUCUGUGACAUCCUGCGACACUGUAUCUCCUACGCCUACCACGACUUAUAUCAAUGACUGUCACGUGCUGUCAAUGACUCUGCUUGUCACAAUAACAAGCACGUGGAUCACGGGAUAAUUUUGACAGUCCAGUAAGGCUUCCUGAGUGACAGUACACCGAGGCGACGUAAACGCUAGUCGGAAUGCACUGCGGAGUCGGGUAGAUUGUGCACGGUUUUCGUGAAAUUCGCGCAGGCGCCUCCAGGAGACGGCUCGCUCGAUAUCGGCGUACUUCCAGCGGCGGUGGGACUAGAGAACGGGGAGAGGGGGAGAGAGAGAGAGAGAGUCGAGUAUUCGAAUAUCAGAGAGACAGGGUAGACACUGGCUGAGAGGAUUUUUCGCUGAUGGUCGAUGAAUCACGUUGCGGACAGCUGAUAAAAUGAGUGAAUAAAACGCACGGUGAUUUUUUUUUUAUACGACGUUCGGAUGAACUGAAAUAAUUGUCUGGAGCAAUAUGACACUUGUACAGGAGCCUAUAAAAUUGUGUAUAGAGACAGACGUAGGUGGUACAGUAAUCAGAUCAGAUUGCCAUAGCCUAUCUAUAUGGCAUGUUCUUAUAGGAUGAUAAAGAAAUUUUUUUUACUCUUACUGUACAACUGUACACAAAUUUACAAAUAGAUACUACGAAGGGAGGAUACCGGACAAUGCUUCCUUGUUAAUAUUUCAUUGGCGCCAGGGUCGUCGGUCCCGGAUGAACCUGAGUUCACGGUUCCAUUGGAUUUCCGUGGAGGCGAAGUUUAAAAUUCGCAGACGGUGGACAAGCGUUUCUAUUUCUUUUUUAAUUUACGAGGACCACUUGCGAAGUAAUUAACUACGGCCGUGUCGGGGGUCUUGGCUUAAUUAAGCGAACGCACUUGGUAGUCGAAUGGCUGUUAAAAUGUUGUAUAAACAAGAUACAGUGUACCCACUAGGGUACGCCGGUACAGAGGAGCUGAUAAAAUGAUUAGGUUAGAAAAACAGAGAAGUUUCAAUAAUUUUAAAUUCAAUGAAAAUCAUGAAAGAAUUAUCAAGGAAUCCUGAGAGACAGUAAUCAUUGCCAUUUAGUUGAAGAAUUUAAACAUGAUGAUCCAAACAAAAUUAAUGCUUAAUUAAUAAACAAUUGAUUUAAUCGGUUAGAAAAAGAUGCUUUAAAUUGUAAUGCAAAAAUCUAUUAAUGCACUUGGACGCAUUCUCGAGUAAGGAACUUCCUUAGAGUUUAUUCAGGAUUUAUUUUACGGACUGGCGAAUUCCAGGUUCCACCCCUGGCCGUCCCGACGCUGUCGUCGCGUCUAGACUGGUAAAGCCCACCCCCUUCCAUAGGCGCAUAACGAUUUGUCGCUGGUUUGAAUUUCCCGCUCUUUCUCCGUUACACAGGGCAUACACUGAAAUUUAGACUUUCUGUUUCCAACCUUCAUCGUAAUUUUCAAGACUCUAUUACUCUGGUAAUAGACACUGUUAACUUUAUUUGAAUUAUCAAAAAUUAUUUUAAAGAUUCAUAUUGUCGCUUCACCUGUUUACACGGCUUUGGCUAGAAAUAAUUGAGGUAUCAAGUGGCAGCCUAGAUGGCGACACAGUCGAAGUGAUUUUCAAGUGGAACCAAUUGAGCGAUCAGGCGUGAUCGAUAUGAGAGAACGAGGUCUCGAAUCGAGGGGAUUAAUCACGGUUUAAGAAUUUAUGUUUUUAUUUCAUUUCUCAUUUUCCCUAUCACGGCAUUGCGCAAAAGCGAAUUACUCAUAUUGAGAUUUGAUUAAAAAUUUAAGAACAACUACCCAUUCCACUCAUAGCCCACUACUUCAAAGAGUGGCUGGUACGUACAGGUACCGAUUCUAUUUGAAAUAACAGGAGUUACCAGAAUGAUUUUAUUUUAUUUUCCCCCUUUAAAGUGCUUCUCGCCAUUUCCUCCCCUUUUACAUCCCCCACUGUCUGGCACCGAAUGGCUUGUGAACUUUCCUAACAAACUUGGCUACGAGCUCUACAGUACGGAAGGAAAGAGGUGCUUGCCAGCAACAGUGAAGAGUGCCAGAAAAUCGAAAACCAGACAGACCGUCCAUCCCAUGAAUAAAAGGCCAGCCGAUAAAGGGGAAAGAGCAUGGGACUCGAAAAAGAUGGCGUUCGCCGACAGGGGUUACGAGUCAGUGUUACGUGGUAACUAUUGAACGAGCAAAUCCAGCAGUUACUUUAUAUCAAAGGCAAAUCCCCAUCCCGGAACUUCCGGUUUGGACGACCCUCCCCACGCUCAAAUUAUCCCGGCCCAAUCACUUUGUUGAUUUUACGCUGCAGUCUUUGCAGUUGCCAAAACAGCCCCCCUCCCGCCCUGAACACUCGUCAUCCUGUAUAUUUUAUGCCAAUGCGAAAGCUGCUACCACCUACGUUGUGGUUAUGCCGCAAAUAAAUUUAAUGGCGAAUACGCAACGUAAUUUAAAAUGUAUUUACAUUGGGGCACGUAUCGGAGAUAGGAGUCGGUGUAAUGGUUAAAUAUUUAAAUUAAUAGGAUAUAUAUAUCAAUCGAUAAAAUUAUGUUGAGAUGCUUCGAUUUUUUUAAUCACGACCUUUGAACUCCACGUGAACGAUCCUGUCAAUAGUUUUCUCGGAUGGACGCAGUUGCGGCACUUAAAAGAGUCGUGUACAAUCAUUUCGCUAUCGAAGGCAAUUAAGUUUCUGUAAAUUAGGUUAGGUCCCACGGGAACGUAGCUGCCUUAUCUCUUAUUCACUUUCAAGUCACCGAUUCACUUUCAAUGUCACACUGUCACUGGCGUUCAAUUUCUUAUCGCACGUACGAUACAAGUGUACAGUGAUGAGUGCCGAGAGAAAAUACAAAUUAUUUCACGAGUUCAUCAGAGGCACUGCUACGCUCGUGGGAUUUGGCUGUUCAUUAAAUACGCCUUGUAUUUUUCACUGGCUCGGCUCUCACAGCUAAUUAAGAUAGUAAGUGGACUGAUCGAUUUCUAAUUUCAGCUAUCGCCCAAGCCUGUGAACAAUGUUAUCGGUGAGAUAGUCGAUAUUUAUCAGUGCCAAGCUCGGAUUGUUUGGUGGUUCUAUAUAAAAUUAUAUAGGUACGCUUUCAAUGAUAAUUUCAAACAUACAAUUAUUCUCUUACCAGUAAUAACCGAUUGUCGUAUUUUCGUUCAACAUUGCAUCAUCUUUCGUAUCCCAGCAGCGCACAAGAUUCUUGUACCAAUGAGAAUAAUCCGUUCGCAUAUAUAAUCCCGCGACAAAGUACCGAGGAAAAGUUACCGCUCGAGUUUUAUAGUAUUUUAACACAGCAUGGACUUUGCAGAGUGAGAGACAAAGAUCUGACAUUUGUGUGCGUACGGGGAAUGUAAAACUAAUUUAAUAAAACAAUAAGAAAGAAAUUAGAAAGGGUGUGAUCAAUAUACUUUUUCACUUUAACCUAACCUAAUUUAACAUAACACACUGUUUGGCAGUGGAUUGUGAAUUCGAAAGGAAAUAUAUUUUCAGACUGUGACAAUAAUAACAAAUGCUAUUAUACGUGGUAGAGUGACGGAAUUAAGGAAUUUCGCGACGAUAAUAACGACGUAAUUCGUUGUAAACCAUGAAAGGACGGCUGACAGUUCUUUGGCCGGAAAGUGCUGCUCUAGAAAUAGAUACAUGUCGCUCCGUGCGACGAAGGUUGCACGGAAAUAGUCCAAGGAACUCACAAGUCUCGAAUUCCAGCUUGCAUAACGAUAAGUCAAUACGUGUCACUAUCAUUUUCUACCCAUUCGCCACAGAGAAUCGUGCACGCUGCGCAAACUGACAUUUUUCCUAACCUCACCGCGCAGGUAUACAGCCGGAGUCAAAGAACCUCCUUAAAAAAUGUCAGUGGUCAUGGUAAAUCGUAUGAAUAUUAUCACCGUUUUCAAGAUAUACCAAAGUAGAAAGGAAUACAUUCAAAAUGUCAAGGCUGUUUGCAAAUUGUCAAUUCAACGACUAACUCUCGUGACUAGCUUAUGGCGGCAGACCGUGGGAAUACGAGAUAAAUUUCCAGCAUUGAAAAUCUUUUAAAUGUAUGCAUAAUUUGCGGAAGCCACUAUCCGUCCAGCGAUUUGGUGAGUGAUCGGGUAAACAGACCGUGAAGAAGCUCCAGGAAUUCGUCAAGGGUAAAUAAAUACCGAGACUGUCUCCCGCGCGAAAGAACCUUCCGAGCAACGUUGUCAGAUAAGAACGGCCUGAAGACAACCCUGCAUUUUCGUUCGGCGCUAGGAAUCGACUCUCAACAUAAAUCUGCAAGGAAUGCACGAAGGUUGACUGGUAAGUGGUUGAAUAAAAAUACAAGAAAUCCAGGUGCCUAACUAGUGACGCUCUGAUUCACGACGACAGAUGCUUUUCUAUAUGUCAGAGGUCUGUCUUCGAACUGCCUUACCAGCGACUGAUUGUCAGCUAUUUUUUUCUUCCGCGCCUUGUCAAUAGAACAAUCAAAAGUUACACUGACGAAAUCGAUAAUAUUUUUACUACCCACGCAAAACUAAGUCAACAGAUAAUUAUCAUUAGAAAUGAUACCUCAGUCCGACACGCACAGCUUGGCUUAAAUGUUCUCGGGUCGUUGUUCCUCUAGGAUUUUCUGACUCAAAAUACACAGACGAAUGACCGAGUGUCGUUCACGCUCUCUGACCUCGGCAACGAUCGCCAUUGUCAACCAACGGUGGUAAAACUGUGACGGUGGGAAAGUUACUAGCCAACAGGUUAGAGUACAGUAGUCUGUUUGUAAUAGAAGAAGACAAGUUGUCAUGGAUCGAUGGAUAAGAUCAGCUAGAAGAAAAAUAAACAAAACAAAAAUAGUGCAAAAUCAUUUGAAUGAAUUAUUUCUAUAUAUGACUGUACCGAAAUGUAUUUUUAAAGGGCGAUAUUUAAUUAAAUAACUUGGUAAUACCAGAAACGCCUGCUUUCGGCUAACGCGAGCGCUAAACAGUUCUAGGUCGUCUCUUGGGAUAUUCCUGCCGUAAACUGGGGCGUGUGUUAUGAAGGUAUUACUCACGUGCGGCUAGUAAUCUUUCAUCAGAAUUAACACGAGGCCGUAGAUAUCAGACGGUGAUAAUGUGCGAAUAAAUUACAAUAUAUGAAUAAAUAUCGCGGCACAUUUACACCUUAAGAUAUUAAAUCGAUUGAAUAUAUCGCCGAACGCCAUUUUCGAAAAGGUUUGACGAAUCUAUUGAAGUACUUGAAUAUGUACAUAUAUGUAAUGAAAUUUUAAUAGAGACAAAAAAAUCUUUAAUAUUAACAAAAUAGAUUAGUACGAUACUAUAGGGUAUGGGAGAGAAAAAAAAGACAAUUUUGAAAAUUUCAUGCUCACGACACAUUACAAGUGCUUUGACUAAUUUCUUACUUAACAAUAUAUAUAUGUAUACAUACAUACGUCUAUAAUUACAAAAUAUAUACAGGUAUGAAUGUCUUGUGUGUAUAGUACCACUAGGAUAGAUACAUGCCGCAAGCGGGAGCUUAAAUAAAGCAAAGGAUUAAAAAAAAAA